rnacentral:rRNA from 1 species
GACGAACGCUGGCGGCGUGCCUAAUACAUGCAAGUCGCGCGGACUUUUCAGGAGCUUGCUCCUGGAAGGUCAGCGGCGGACGGGUGAGUAACACGUGGGCAACCUGCCCGACAGACUGGGAUAACAUCCGGAAACGGAUGCUAAUACCGGAUAGUUUGCUUGAAGGCAUCUUCGAGCAUGGAAAGGCGCUACGGCGUCACUGUCGGAUGGGCCCGCGGCGCAUUAGCUAGUUGGUGGGGUAACGGCCCACCAAGGCGACGAUGCGUAGCCGACCUGAGAGGGUGACCGGCCACACUGGGACUGAGACACGGCCCAAACUCCUACGGGAGGCAGCAGUAGGGAAUCUUCCACAAUGGGCGAAAGCCUGAUGGAGCAACGCCGCGUGAGUGAUGAAGGCCUUCGGGUUGUAAAACUCUGUCUUCUGGGACGAACGGACAGGAGAGGGAAUGCUCUUGUUGUGACGGUACCAGAGGAGGAAGCCACGGCUAACUACGUGCCAGCAGCCGCGGUAAUACGUAGGUGGCAAGCGUUGUCCGGAAUCACUGGGCGUAAAGCGCGCGCAGGCGGCCGUUUAAGUCUGGGGUGAAAGCCCGGAGCUCAACUCCGGGACUGCCUUGGAUACUGGAUGGCUUGAGCAUUGGAGAGGUAAGGGGAAUUCCACGUGUAGCGGUGAAAUGCGUAGAUAUGUGGAGGAACACCAGUGGCGAAGGCGCCUUACUGGCCAAUUGCUGACGCUGAGGCGCGAAAGCGUGGGGAGCAAACAGGAUUAGAUACCCUGGUAGUCCACGCCGUAAACGAUGAGUGCUAGGU